GGGAAACGCAAGCACCGAGCUAACUGAAUUAAGCUCACUCUCAUCCACCCUUCGUGCCACCCUUCAUCCGUGGGUAUACGUCUUUCUUUCUCGUUGGAAGCGGACCGUGAUGUCGCCGUGGAAAAUAAAAGCAAAGGUGAGAAAGGGCUUUGCUGACAGGGACGACAAUUCUGAUAGAAAAAGAAAAAGAAAAAAAAAUGAAAGAAAAAACCAAGGAAUAUUCUCGUUUUCUGAAAGAGAGAAGGUUGGAGAGGAAGGGUAUACGUUGAAACUCGAUCUUCGGCGUCAAAGCGGAAUACGGCGACAGCGGGAAAGCGUAUUUUUAAGUUUCUCGCAGGAAUGUAAUUAUCGGACACAGCUGUUUGUUUUUUGCCGUGACGUCUGGGCUAACGAUAGGAAUAAACUUUGACGUGUGGUCACUAGUCAACGGCUUAACGACACUUACAUACCGCACACUGUUUAAUUUAUUCUUAAUUAAUGUCACGAUCAAAAGAAUACUCUUUGAAGAAUAGUCGAGAGUAUUAAUUUCUAUACUUUAUUAAAUGCUGUAAUAAUAAAAAAAGAAUAAUAGAAAAAAAAAUACAGGAAAGAUAUUUAUAAUGGCCAUUUUAAAUAAUUUAAAACGCAAAAAAAAUAUUAAAUAUUUAACUCGAGACGACACGAAAAUGUAAAUUCAAUGAUAAUAAAUCCUUUCUCGCGAGUGAUUCGUAAUUCGCUUUAAUUUAUCAGAGAGAGAGAGAGAGAGAAAAAAAGAGAAAAUAUUUAUUCAACCCGUCGAAAAAUCAUCUAAAGUUGUAUUCAUUCGAGGAGAGGCGCGUCCCGCGGAAAGAUAUUUUCAAUCUCGGAUCGCUCGCUCUCUCGAACGGGACAGAGGCACGAUAAUAAUAAAACUUAAAACACGUAUCCUGCUCCGCUCCCCAGAGUAUUUCUGGCGUGUAACCCCUUGACUCGUGAGCGACGUCGUGCCUCGCAACUUGUUUACGCAAUUUCGAGGAUUUUCUCGCGAAAAUCAUGUCAUCGCCGUUGUUGAACUCUGGCAGCCACUGGGACUCCGGGGAAAUCGCGACUCGGGCGGAACAAAUUGAAAGGCACGGCUCGCGUUUUCCUACUAUAAAAUGGCCUUAGAUUGAAUCGAGAAAUGGGAGGUUCGCGGGAAAACCGGAAGUGUUAUCGUCGAAAGAAGCCGAUGUAUCGAUUGGCGCGAGGAGAGUUCUCGAUAAAAUUACUGCGAUUUCAAAUUUAUUAAAAAAAAAAAAAAGAAAAUUGUACAAUUGUACUCUCGAAUUUAAUUCCUUUUACGGACAAGUGUCCCUUCAACUCUCAUUCUCGAUGGAUGGAAGACACUUUUUUUUUUUUUUUUAGAAGAAAUAAGGAUCAAAGAGAUAAGUAUUAGGAAGAAAAUACAUAUUGCGAUGAUUGUAUUUCGUUGUCAAUAAGAUUGUAUCGAAAUUGAACUUGAUCCAAUUUUGUUCGAUUAACUUCGAUGUCGAUCGUGGUAUUGCAUUCGUUCGUAAAAGAUUAAAGUAUGGAGAUGAAGAAUAAUCUAAGCUACGAGAAAGUUUUUAAUUAUCUCAAACGGACGAGAAAAAAAUUGACUUCCAUUUAUCACCGUCUGAUGUUUUCCAUCUUAGAAAAUUUCCGAUUUAUUAUUCCCUCAUAAACAAAUUCAAAUUCACGAAGAAAUAUCUUUGCAAAAUUUUCAUAUUUUUUACCUUGAUUCCAGAAAAUUCUCAUCAGUCCUCUCCAUUUUUUUCUUUUUUCUUCAUCCUUUCGUCGAACGUUGUUCUCGGACGAGGGUAAGCAACGAUAUAAAUAACAUUGAUAUUUCUCGCAAACUCGAUUUAACUCGAGUCAGUCAGCGGAAGGCGGAUAGGCGAUCCAUCAUCGAGGAAGGAUGCAGCCAAAGUGGCGUGAGAAAUGCAAUUCCGCGACGUAAAGGAAGGAUCAACAGGCUUCGACGCGAAUCAUCCCUUAAAUGACGCCACCCUCGAACAAUUCGCGAUAAAAAAUUCAAUCGGCCAAAUUAUCUCGGCUCGAUUCCCUCGAAUAAUUCCAAGAAGGAUCGAAUCGUUGAAUAAUUUUAGCCUCUUCUUUCGAUCCAGAGGGAAGCUCUUUAAAAUGGAAAACCAAGUCGAUCGAUUUCUAAGGAAAUAAUUUUUCGAUUCCGUCUCGAAGUAAAUGGGUCGAAACGUAUAUAAUCAUAUUGUAAAGGUAAAUAUUUGAGUACAAGUAUUCAACAUGUUUUUGUUACGCAAUUUAAUCAGGAAAUUGUGAAAAAAUC